rnacentral:rRNA from 1 species
CCUCUGUUUAGCGAAACGCUUGACACACAGAAAGUUGGAACCAGAGGAACGUAGAGGUCUAGAGCGAGAGUAUUUAGUAAGAGCAAGUUGCAGAUUGCGAGGUCCAUGGUCCCAGACAACCUUAUGGAUGAUGCAGAGGGAUUUGAACUUGAUCCUUGCAGCAACUGGGAGCCAGUAAAGAAUUUUUAGGACAGGAGAGAUGCGGUCCUUGAGCUUGAGGCCAAGGAUAAGUCUUGCUGCUUAUUCUGGAUAACCUGAAGGGGUUGUAGAGAGGACGAGGUCCAUGUGUUUGUGUGUUUAAAGGGGUUGGAGGACACCAGGAGAAAGAGGGCAGGAUAUAGGAGGAGUAGGUAGUAGGCAAGAGGUUACAGGAUCAACUCAAGUAGGAGAAUGGUAGGCUGUGUAGUGUUUGAAUGCAGGUUGAAUGUUUUUUUCCCACAUUCCCUCAUACCCAACCAAUUACGGAACCCUAAUCCUCUUUCCUGUGAUCCUAACUCCUCCUUCCUAUCCACAACCUCUGCCUUCCCCCAUUGGCUGUCUCGUGGUGACCUGUCUACUAAGUAUCAGGGACCUGCGCACUACCAAGUUGGGAGGGUCAUACUCCCUUCAGCUUCCAUGGUUAGGGAGGGUUGCGGAUACCCAUCCAAGUGUGACAUGGUCCUGACAUGCAAAUUGGUUGUUUAAUCUGGAUAUAGGGGCAACAGGCUAAUCAAACCAUCUAGUUGCUGGUUCCCUCUGAAGUUUCCUUCAGAAUACCUGGCACCUAGGAAAGCCCAGUUUUGUCUGGUAAAGUUAAUGCUUAGAGUUCUUAGGGCCUAAACAAUCUCAACCUAUUCUCAAACUUUAAAUAGGUAAGAAGCCCAGCUCACUGGCACCCUGGAAUGGGUUUGUCCCGAGAGAGGGGUCGAGCCUUGGAAAGCAUUGCAGUUCCAGUGAGCUUUCGCUGGUCCUUGAAAAUCCAGGGGAGAGGGUGUAAAUCUUGCAUCAGGCCAUACCCAUACACACAGCAGGUCUCCAAUGUGACCAGCCUCUGACAUGUUGGAACAAUGUAGGUAAGGGGAGUCGGCAAGUCAGAUCAGUAACUUUGGGAUAAGGAUUGGCUCCAAGGGUUCAGUCAGUUGGGCUGGGGCACAAAGCGGGGUUGGUGCACGCCAUGGUUGGAUGAGGUAUCUCCCCCCAUGGAGAAUCCGCAAACUCUGGACACGAGCAGGGCCCUUCCUUUGGAUCACCCUAGCUACGGUAGUCGCCUCUCUCUGUUCCCUUCUGAAGGUUCGGGGCAGGCGUUGUGCAUUGGCCAAUGCCUAGCAGCUGACUUAGAACUUGUGCAGACCAGGGUAAUCCAACUGUUUAAUUAAAACCAAGCAUCACAAAGGAACAAAGCGGGUGUUGACACAAUGUGAUUUGUGCCCAUUGCUCUGAAUGUCAAAGUGAAGAAAUUCAAUGAAGUGGUGGGGGUAAUUAUGACUCUCUUAAGGUAGCAAAAUGCUUUGUCAUCUAAUUAGUGAUGAACGUGAAUGGAUGAAUGAGAUUUCCACUGUCCCUAGCUACUAUCUAGUGAAACCACCGACAAGAGAAACGGAUUGGUGGAAUCAGCAGUUAAAGAAGACCCACUUGAGCUUGCCUCAAGUCUGGCACUGUGAAGCAACAGAAAAGGUGUAGGAUAAUUACUCUUAUUGUUUUUUCAUUACCCAAUGAGGUGGGGGCAAGCCUGGUGGUGCUCUCGCUUCUGGCUCCAAGAAGCAGGGUGCAACCCGCUCCAAAGACAGUGGCAAGUGAGAAGUUUGACUGGGGCGGUACACCUGCCAAACAAUAACGCAGGUGUCCUGAGGUGAACUCAUGGGAGGACCUCCCAUGGCGCAGAAGGGCAAAACUUUGCUUGAUCUCGAUUUUCAGCAUAAAUACAGGCUGUGAAAGCAGGCCCUCAUAAUCCUUCUGACAUUUUGGGUUUCAAAUAGGAGCCUGUCUGAAAAGUUACCAUAGGGAUAACUGGCUUGUGGCGGGCAAACAUUCAUAGCAAUGUCACUUAUUGUUAGAUAUUGGCUCUUCUCAUUGUGAAGCAGAAUUCACCAAGCGUUAGAUUGUUCACCCACUAAUAGGGAGGUGUGAGCUGUGUUUAGACCAUCGUGACACAGCUUAGGUUCACCCUACUAAUGAUGCGUUGUUGCUCAGUACGACAGGAACCGCAGAUUCAAACAUCUGGUGUAUGUACUUGGCUGUAGAGCCAAUGGGUCAAAGCUACUAUCUGUGGGAUUAUGACUGAACGCCUCUAAGUCAGAAUCCCCCUAAACCAUAACAAUACUGCAGCACUGUGAGUCUCGGUUGGCCUAGGAUAUCCGGCCUCUGGGUCAUGGCGUAGAGCCGCUCACAUCGGGACUCGAGCAUGGACAGAAGGGGGCCACCUCUCUCACCCGUAGUGCACUGCAUGUUCGUGGGGAAUUUGGUGCUAAAUCCUUCGUAGAAGACCUGAUUCUGGAUCAGGGUUUCCUAAGUAGCAGAGCGGAUUCCCUUGCUGUAAUCUAUUGAAAGUCAUCCUC